ensembl:lncRNA
AGAGAAGUAAUUUUUGUACCUGGUUUAUGGUCAUUGUGGAGGGUUUGCUAGAUGCUGAAGAAGGCUCACUUGGGGAAAAAUGAAAUGUUCCUUGAUUGAAUGGAAGAAAUAUUUCAAAGAGGAAACAAAUAAGAAAAAAUGAUGUGAAGAAGGUGAAUGGGGAAUUCUAAUCUAUUUCAUGUGUUUGGAGGGAGGAGAUGAAUAUGACUCAGAGAAAUGAAGGAACAAUGGUACCUUAAAAAAAUCUAGAGCUGAAUGAUAAAUAUGAAGCUCUUCCUUUAGAGAAGAGAACUGGCCCUUCUGAAGAGGAAGAAACAUCUUGGACUCCAAGAAAUGAUAAUGCAGACCCACAGACGCCAUGAGGAAUGAGGUCACUCAGGAAUGCUCAGAGAAAGAAGAAAAGAGAAGGGUACAGAAGGGGGAAAUGAUGGCCUGAACAUUGAAGGAUCUGGACCUGAACUGGAACAGGAGGCUCAAGCCCUGGAUAGGAAAAGUCUUAGGGUCCCAUUCAAGCUUCUCUCUCUUACCUGGGUUUAAUUUCUAUUCUGAUUCUUAGAGCAAAUGAUUAAAAUUAGGGCAUGUCUACUGGUACUUCUUUUGCAUGUUCUUCUGGUUCGGAGGAACUCACUACCAUCUUUCUAGUCAUAUGGAGAACCACCCAGGUCCUAUUACCUCUUCUGUUACUACAUCCUAAGGAUCACUUGGCCUUUCCAUUCACACUGUAGCUUAGAACAAGGGCAGCCCAACUUUUCUAUUUAAAUCCUCAGUACUUUGCACAGAAUUGGCAUACGUUAUAGUUUCUUUGGGUCACAGGCUCUUAGAGCCACUCAGUCUAAACCUUCAUAUAUACAUAUGUGCGUGUGUGUGUUUGUGUAAGUGUCCAAUAUAUACUUGUGUUCUCACUUGUGUCUCCAAGAAGAUGGAGCUUGCACAUCAGCCAUACCUGGGUAAAAUCUUCUUCAUAGAUGGGCUAAUCCAGGUUGAGGGCACCCAACAGGUCUCAAACCUGUUGGUGAGUUAGGGGGUGAUGUUUAUCCCAAAGGACAUGACUAUGUGCCUCAGUGGAAUUAGAGGAUGAAAACAAUUUGUUCCAAGGACCAUGAAGGCUCUGUAUGGAGCUUAAUAGAAGAUGCUAAGGUCAUUCUCUGCAUCCCUAGCCAUCAAAGUCAUCCUGACUUCUGUUUGCCUUCAAUGACUCUGGAAGAAAGAGUGAGACUGAUGACUAAAUGAAACUCUGCCUCCCUUACAUUUAAUUUACAUAUGAGUAGGCAUCACCCUAUGAAGGUUGAACAACAUACAAGAUAUGAUAUAAUCUCAAGUCUUUCUGGCUCUCAAGUACAGUGCUCUACUCAAUAUAAUCCUUAUUUAAAAGAACUCAAAGUCCUUCAGAGUUCUGAUUACCAUCUUCUAUGAGUGGUCAGAGCUUUUUUUUAUUCAUUCAUUCAUUCAUACAUUCAUUGUUGGAUCAGAUUGGUAAGAAUGGAUAGGAGGUUGCUUGAAACCAUCUUUUUUCAUUAUCUUCAAACAAGUUCAUCUA